rnacentral:lncRNA from 1 species
GGCUCAUCUUCCCAAACUUUCCUUUCCCUGAGAAAAAAAUGUACAAAAAGUAUUUAACACUAAUGUUCGUGACGUAUUACACAAGGAAGUGCGUGUUUUCUUCAAUACACACCUGCAAUGGGCAAUGGAAUACACAAAUAUUUAAAUUGUGACGAAAAUGGUAAAUGUCUUGGAUAGUUAUUUGCUUUACCCUUCAUGCUAUGAAUUAUUAAUACUGCUUUCUUUUGGAAAUAUGAAUGACCAUAUACGUAAGAUUUAUUGACGAAAACAAGGAAAUUUACUAAAACAUCAAAAACAGGUGACUUUUCACUUUUUCAGAUUUCAUCAUGUUGUAAAUAAACAAGGAAUGGCAACACAUGGAGACCAACACUAUCAACCCUACCCACCCAAUUCUGUGGAAGAAACAAUCAAGGUAGGUAAAUAAUAUACAAUUUAAUUAAACUUCAUUUAGCAUACAAUGAAUGACCAAUGACAAAGUGUCAAUAUUAACAGAUGAGCCAUCCAGGUGUUUAUUUUAAACUUGUUACAUAUUUGACUGUAUUUAGAUAAAAUUAAUAUGUCAGUUAUAAAUUAAAAUGUAAACUUGCAGAAGAAUAAAACUAAAUUAAAGAUACCCAUGAUUAAGAAUGAUAAAAACUACAGGUGCAAUAUAUUAUAUAUGAUGAUAAAUUAGUAAUAUAAAAAAAUCAGAAAAGAAACUCUUAACUUGAAAGAUGUUGCCAUGUAAUGUUAAAAAAUCAAAUGAAUUCAUUUUAUGGACACAUAUUAAAAUAAUUCUGAAUUUGAGUGUAGCAUGAUGCCAUCAGUGGCACAAGGCUCUUUAGAGAAUACAUUUGUUUAUCUUAAUAUAAUAGUGGCUUUGUUUACCUAUAAGAGCAAAUAAAGAUGGAUCAGUUUUAAUGUAAUAAGCUAUAACUGUCUGGAUGUACAUAAUUUUGGUCACCUUUCAGUUUCUUCACAGUCUUGUUAAAAUUUCAUAUUGUGUCCGAAGAUUUGAAUGAUAAAUAAGGUCAGUCCCUAGUCAUCACUUUAAACAUAUCUGAAGUACCAAAACAAUUUCUACUCUGUUUUGCCCAAUGUCAGGCAACCAUGGGAAUGUCUCUAAAAUCUAGCGUUUUCAUCAAAAUGAAUAAUGCAACAUACAUUUAAUUUGAUGAUAAGGAGAUGUGGUAUCCCCAUAAGUUCAAAUGAAGUGGAUUUUUUUUUGCCUUCGACAAUGAGAAAAACCCAAGCUGUAUAGUUAUCUAUAGAAGGCCUGAUAUGAAAGAUAGGAUACAGUUCAAUUGAGAAUAACUAACAGCCUGCUUUUGAUCCUUCAGUGUUGUAGAUAGCUAGGUUGCAAAGGAAAUUUAAUACACAAAUUGAGGGGGAUAGGACCUUUAUCGGGACUCCCGGAUCAGGUGUUUUUAAGCUUGGGAUUUCUAGACUGACCCUGCCGGGGAACUGGGAAUUCUUUUUUCGAAUUUUGGGAUUUCAAUUUAUUUCAAUUCGGGACCUCAGGAUUACGUGUUUUGAAGCCCGGGAUUUCGGGAUCAGGACCCCUCCUAUCCCCCUCAUAAAAGGGCUGAAUAAAAAUAGUAUUUGGGUCAACAUUCACAAUUAAUUCUCCGUAGGCGGUAAUGGUAGCGUUUUCCUCCGUUGCUCAGUCCAUAUCGUUUACUUGAACAUGUCUGAUGAUGGCUCAAAUCGAAGCUGAUACAUUUAUACAUGUCUGGUUAAAUUUUCGGGGUGGCAAGUGAGAUUACUUUUUUCGCAAAUUGCUGGACCCCGGAAGAUGGUGAAAAAUGUCACUCUCCUCAUGAAAUAAUCCCAAAAUUCUGAUCAUAAAAUUCAAUAAAAAAAUUGUCCUUUCUAAUAAUUUAUUUCAGGUCAAAUCUACAUAUUUCUUUUCUCAUCACAUCAGCUCUAUAAAACAGUUCUUAUUGUUCAUUUAUGUCCAUUUUUAAAAUCACAGCAUCCACAAUUGUAUGGCGGACUAAUAUAUUUUUUUAAUUACGUCAUCUGAGUUCCUCAUCUCAAGGUCUAUUAGGGAUCCUGACCCAUUUGGGUGGUAUUAACAGCUUUUUAUAUGACCACUAAAAAUGUGCAUUUGUAUAAUGCUAUUGUGGUGGCAUUGUCUUUGUUGGUAGGGACAGGGUCGUCAUUUGAAUACACAUUUGAUUUCCAGACAAUAACUGUUAAGUUUAAGUGUAUGGAUCUCUUUGAAAUUAAACCAAACACGGUUCAAUACCAUGAAAGAAAGGUGGGGAUUGAUUUUGGGGGUUAUGGUACCAACAGCUUAGGAAAAAGUGGCCAAAAACACACAUCUUUUUUUUUUCCAGACAAUUAUUUGUGUGUAAGUUUAUGGAUCCCUUUGAAAUUGUACCUGAAUGUUCAAAACCACAACGGAAAAGCUGGAAUUGAGGAUUGGAGUAAAUGCUCCAAACGAUGAGCUUUAAUAGACACUGCUACAUUGAUGAAAUUGUGUCAUGAUGAUCUUACAAUUGUUUCAAAAUGGAUACUACUAGAUAAUUUGGGCAUUUGAAUUAACUCCAUACCUAUUUAUACCUACUGAGAAAAAAAAAUCAUUCAUUGAUAUUCAGAGAUGACAAAUUUUGAGCUUGUAGCCAAUAUUUCUUUUCAUUCUUUUUUCUUUUUUAUAGAACAAAAAAUAAAAAUUUAAGCAAUACCAUUCCUGAAUACUUUUCUUCAUACAUGUUACAGUAUACAACUAAUUAAGUUUUCAAAUAUCAGUCUUUUUAAAUAUAUUCAAUCUAUCAUUUCCUCAUGUUUAUUGUGCUUAAUAUUCAUAAAAUAAAAAAGAAGUUUAUAACAUGCAGUCCUCUAAAUUAUCACAGGACCAACAUGACCAACAGUACAACAAAAUGUACGUGUCCUAUAAAAAUAAAUUUGGUCCUGUCUAUUUUUGUUAAUUUUGUAAUAUAUUCUUAAAAAAGAUUUGAAGAAUCAUCAAUUUGGUCCUUUAAAUGCCGAACCCCAUUUCUAUGAGUGUUCUAAUUGUCACUAAAUGGCAUAUAACAGGCUAUUAUUUGAACUUGGAAUUAUUUUUAAUUAUGGAAUUUGCAUAAUUUUUUGUGUUUAAAAUUUUUAAUAAAUUCCAUGUUUAUUUUGUAUUAUGAUCUUUUGAGCGGUUAAUUUAAUAAACACUUUCCAUACAACGUAUUUUGGUUAGAUAGUGUUGUGCGCGGCACAGUACAUUCUAUUGAAAAUAUACUAUUUUCUUUGUAAUAGAAAGUGUUGUGCGCAUCACAGAACAUUUCAGUACAGAAUAAACAUGGAAUUUAUUAAAAAAUUCAAUAACAAGAAAUCAAGCAAAUUCCAUAAUUAAAAAUAAUUCCAAGUUCGCGUAUAUAUAAUAGCCUGUUAUAUUUUAAUACUCAACGUAGCAAUUGCAUUAAAUGGAUUUUUUUGUUGUGGAAUUUUAUUUAUAAGCAAAAGUGUAAAGGAUUGAUUCGAACAACAAAUCUCUCUUUCAUUAUUCUGAUGUAAAUUACAAAUCAGUUUCAUUGCAUUUAAUCCAUUUCACUUGAUGAUUCAUCACGUUUGACUGUGAAUUGAGUUUUACUCUAGAAAUAAAAAGAAAUGUUACCAAGUGUUAUGGAAUUUAAAAUGUCAGAAGAUGUUAAUAAGGGCACUGUGUGAAAUAUGGUCAUUUUGACAUUUGAACUACAAUUGUAAGUGGAAACAUGUCGACUUGGGUCAGUUCCAACCUGACAAGACUGUUUCAAAUUAAUAAGGUUCUUCAUGUAAACAAGCUCUGUUUAUUUUGAGAAAAAACACAUCAAAUAUAUCUGUAUGUUCUGAGUAUCCAACAGAAUAAGGUUCCAAUGAUAUUAUUGAUUUAACAUGUUAAAUGCAGUGUAUAGAAUUUGGUGGGUCAAGUAGGGGACCCUUCUAUAAUACCCCCAACAUGUACAAUGUAUUUCAACCUAAAUUCACAGAGGAAUAUUUGACAAUAAUGAUCACUCUUGAUUUCUUAAGUCAAUAAUUGUACAUAGAAACUGAGACUACCGAUGUUACACAUGGAAAGGAUACUUGAAAAUACAUUAAGGACUUAUUUUUUUGCUUUAAAACUCUGUAAUUUUGAAAAAAUCCGAUGCACUUCAAAAGAAAUAUGUAUUUUAAGAUAUGAAUAUUAAACAUUGAAAAUCUUUUUCAUUUGUAUCCCAGCUGCAGUUUGAUAAUAAUUUUAGAAUAUCUUCCCCUGCCAAUUAAAAAAAAAUCAUAAUGACCUCUAACCUUAUUGUGUUUAUGUUUGGCAUUUUAUUCAUAAUACAUUUUUUACCAGAGAACAUCAGUUUUGUCUGUAAGCUUUAAUAAGCUUUUAUUGAAAAUGAAUUGCUGAAUCAACAUAUUUGAUUGAUCCCUUUGACCAGGGGCAAUCUCACCUCAUUGUUUUAAUUCUAUGGCAUGUGACUUUUCUUCCCUGAUUACAGAUGUUAUUAUCUGUACAUGACCCAGGGGUGACAUCAAUAUUAUAGUUUAGAAUGUUUUUUUAAGUAUUUAUGAUAAAUUGAUUGGAGACUUGUGAUCCUAUUUAAUUGUUAUUACCUAUGUUAUUAUAUACUAUCUUAAAAUUGAGUAUAUUUAAAAUUGUCUUAGAACCUGUCAGAGAUUAAAGAAUGCAGAACUACAUGAAUUAAUAGGCUUAAACUAUCUACUACCAAUCAAAAUCCAAUAUUAGAUCAUACUUUAAUCAUGCAAAAAUCUUUGAAAAUGUGACUUCAAUUACACUUUUUUGAAUCAAAUUUAGAGCUGCCCUCUUUUUGAAUGUUCCUUUUUAGUGCACUUUUGCAAUAGCUGGCCUCUGCCAAAGAUUAAUGUGGACAGCUUUAUAGCAGAAAUCCGGACAGACUAGUUCAAAUUUAUUACUAUUAAUGUACUUGUCUUUUCCAUUGAUUGGAUUGAAGGUUGCAUUUUGUUAUUGGAAAAUGUUUCUUUCAAUUUAGAUAAAACCCGGAUAUUUAGCUGUACAUUUCUAUGAUUUAUAAAAAUUAAAAUUAGCCCAUUCGAAAAAAAAUCAUCUGAAAAUUGUAAAAAAAAUAUAUAGUUUACUCAUCAUUUAUUAUUCACUUAAAUAUCAAAAUUACCCAUUAGAAAAAAAUGUGAAAUACUCCUGAUCCAGCUUGUCAAGAGCGUAGCAUCUUUCUGACAUUUGUUAUGAUUAAGUAAUUAACUCAGUCCAUCUUAGCAGGAACCAAUAAAAUCAAUUAUUAAAAAGUGUUAAUUGAACACCAUGCCUGUUAGUGACUGGAUCCUUGUUAGCAUGUGGUCACACUAGGGAGCCAGUUCACAGUCAAUUGUGGCUAUUAGCAUUCUACAAUUAACACCUAAUUAAGAAAUAUUAAACAAAUAUGUCAUAAAAAAUAAUUAACUGUUUAAUCAGGAGACUAUUUGAUUGAAUUUUUUCAUUGCAUCUGACAUAGUGUAUUCUUUUUAUGGCAGGUAGUUAUAGAGAUCUAUAAAAAAAAUCUGUUGGAUUUUGAAAUAGGAACUAAAUUGAUGUACAUUUGUAAUUAUCCUUACAGAGAGCAUUAGCAUAAAAGUUCAGAAUUAUCUGUAAUUUGAACAUCUUUAAAAAGUGCAUGCAUAUAUAUACAAAUUUAAGAAACCCGAAACUAAGCUUUAUAGUUUACAAAAAAUAAAAAAAUGUUUGUACGUGUAGGUUUACAAAUAUGUGUUUUUUGUUAUCCCCAGGGACCUCGUCAAAUGUUUAUUGAGGAUUUUAAAAGCAUGAAAAGUGAGAAACACUGUUAUAAUAUAUAUAUAUCUUUAAAAUGUCUUUGCUAAAACUAUUUACCAUGUUUACCAGCAAUGAAAAGUAAAUAGAAUAAAACAGAAAAACAGAAAAGGUUUAAUAAUUUAGUUUAGUAUGAAGUCCAUCACACUGAACCAGUAACAUAUUUGUUUAGGGGCAAGCUGAAGGACUCCUCCUGGUGCGGGAGUUUCUUGCUGCAUUGAAGACUCAUUGGUGGCCUUCGGCUGUUGUCUGCUCUAUGGUCGGGUUGUUGUCUCUUUGACACAUUCCCCAUUUCCAUUCUAAAUUUUAUCUAGCAGAAACAGAUAUUUUGAGUGGGUCUCAUUGGGGUCUAAGCGUGACGCGGGAUUGCCGAUUUUUCGUAAGCGUGAUACGGGAAAGUCAAAUUAUUGUGCCGUGAAAACGGGAAUUGAGGGCUAGCGGGACAUGGGAAAUUACAAAAAAAUGAGAAUUGCUUAGGUACAUAGUAUAAGCGGGAUACGGGAAUCUGACAAAACAGUAAGCGGGAUCCUGGAUCAGAACCCCCCAAAGAGACCCCCUUUUGAGGCUUUACAUAACUUUUCAUGUUUUGUGUAUUGUUUGCAUGUUGUUUUCUUGAGAUAAGUAGAUAUAGAAAACAAGAAAAAGUACAGGGGUGGAUCCAAAACACCAAAUCUAAUGACAAAAAAGGUCGAAGAAGAUUCCCUGUGAAACACAUUUGAGUCAAUUUUAUAUUUCUGCACCUUUCCUGCAGCAUGCGGAUCCACCUCUGGAUUAUUAUGUUAGUGAACACUGCCUAUUUUAUUUUAUUUUGAUAUUUUAAAACUUAUUUUGCUAUUUUUUUUAUUUUUCAGUUUGUUUAUUGGCAUGGCAGAAUGUUUACACACCAAGCAUGACUGACUAUUUUGUUGCUAUUUGAGUUCUGCUUUAUUUGUUGUUUUAUUUUAUAUUAUAAAUCAGGUCAUAUAAAAUAUAAAAUUUUGUGAAAAAGUGUGUUAAAUCAAAUUUUAAUAAAAUUUACCUUCUGUCAAUUAUAUAUUAUUUUCUUCAUAAAUUGUAUAAGCAACAUUGUUUAAUUUUCCCAUAGCGGAUUUGUUAGAAGAAAAGUAAAUUAACUAAAAGUCAGGGGACCUCAUUAUGCGUAAAUCAAAUCCGAAUUAAAUCCCAAAAAAAUAAUGUUGCUUUUCUUUUGUGUAGAAAAUUCAGUAAUGAUUACUUCCACUUAUCAUCAGUUUUCUUUUUAUAAUAAAAAAGGAAAAAUAAUCCAAUGUUUUACCAACAAGCAAAAUUUUAUAUUUAUGUGGCCUGUACACUUUAAUAUUUGAAAACAAAAGCUUACAUGGUAUAGCCUGGAUGUUACACAAGAACAAAAUAUUAUAUUUCAAUGGCCUUAUUAUAAUUACUCAACUGAUAAGAAAAAUUACAUGGCUAUAACCAAGAGAGCUAUCAUUUGUUAUAAUAAUUAACCUACACAAUCAUUUAUCCAAGAAUUCAAAGUAACCUACAAAUUCAAAACUGUAAUAGUCAAUAUUAUUAUAAGACUGUGUUUGAUAAAAAUUUUCAAGCAGUGUUUAUCUUAGAUCAAAGCUAUGUGUUUAAAUUGUUUUAAUUGAUUUUGAAGGAUGCAUUUCCACACAUGCUACAAACUAACUACAUUGUAUUCAUUUAAAACAAAUAUCAAGGCCAUGAGACACAGAUCCAGAAAAUUUUAAACAGCUUAAUUUCCAAGAUUUUUUACUGAAUUAUGAAAAAAAAAAUGUAAUAUAAAAGGGUACCUAAAAACCUUAUUUUAAGACACUGAAACUCAUUCAAAUGAUAAUAUUUAACAUAUUAAGAUUAUAUAAAGCUUCAAUAUUCAAAUCAAUCUUUCAAAAAAUAAUUGCAGAUAUAGUUUUAACAAAGGUACGUCUUGAAACUUGGUCUUGAAUAUAGUUCAGUCAUAAUGGCCGAAUGCCAGUUUUACUGGUCAUACCUGGAUCUAUGAACUUCUUAUCUUAUAUACCUGACAGAGUGGAGAGUUCAACUGGUCAUACUUGGAUUUAGGGGCUUCCAAUGUUAUAUACCUGACAGAGGGGAGAGUUCUACUGGUCAUAUCUGGAUUUAGGGCUUCCAAUCUUAUAUACCUGACAGAGGGGAGAGUUCAACUGGUCAUAUCUGGAUUUAGGGGCUUCUUAUCUUAUAUACCUGACAGAGGGGAGAGGUCUACUGGUCAUAUCUGGAUUUACCCGUAGAGUUCUACUGGUCAUAUCUGGAUUUAGGGGCUACUUAUCUUAUGUACUUGACAGAGGGGAGAGUUCUACUGGUCAUAACUGGGUCUAGGGCUUCCAAUCUUAUAUACCUGACAGAGGGGAGAGUUCAACUGGUGAUACCUGAAUCUAGGGGAUUCCAAUCUUAUAUACCUGACAGAGAGGAAAGUUUUAUUGGUCAUACCUGGAUUUAGGGCUUCUUAUCUUAUAUACCUGACAGAGGGGAGAGUUCUACUGGUCAUAACUGGGUCUAGGGCUUCCAAUCUUAUAUACCUGACAGAGGUAAGAUUUCUACUGGUCAUACCUGGAUCUUGACCUCAAUGACUUUCAUUGAUUUUUGGAGGGUCCCUUAAAUCCUGAUUACAAGGCCAAAAAUAUCAAGUAAGGAAAUCAAAUUUCACAAGAGAGUGCUCUUUUUUAAUGUGAAAUCCAUAUAAAAAAGUAAGAACUUAUAUACAAGAGUCAAGAUGUUAAAUAUAUAUCAAUAUUUUUUUUGAAUGAAUUAUUUAUUCAUUCACCACAAGUAUAAGGUUAACAGCUGGUACAUAAAAACUUAUUUGAAUAGGCCAGACUAAAAGAAAUCUUUGUGUUUAGGUGUUACACCACUAUAUUGUUUUUAACUGAUUAAUAAAUUGACUUUUUUCAAAAAAUUGUGCAGAUUUGAUUUCCACUGUUUUAAAUAAAGAAAUACUUGGCAUGUAUAAAGGUUAGCAUGUCCAGUGCUACUGUGAUAAUAUUACACUAUGUUUAAUUGCAACCCCGCUUCAUUUUUGUGCCUGUACCAAGUCAGGAGCCUCUGGCCUUGUUAGUCUUCUUACAUAGUCUGUAACUGAGCGCUGGAUCACUCCACUAUGCUCAGAUCUUCAGUUAUUUGCUGACUUGUUUCAGUUCCGGUUCCUGUGUCAGCUUUUGCUCUAUAGUUAUAUUUCAUUUCACUAUUUGUCCAAUAUUUAUCUAGGCUGUAUUUUUAAUUUAAGUUUCUUGAGUAUUUUUUUCGGAAUUUUACUAUGACGUCCAUUAUCACUGCCCUAGUAUACAUUUUUGUUUAGGGGCCAGUUGCAUUGAAGACCCAUUGGUGGCCUUCAGUUAUUGUCUGUUCUAUGGCCGGGUUGUUGUCUCUUUUACACCUUCCCCAUUUCCUUUCUCAAUUUUAUGUAACAAAGUUAAACUACCUUUGAAGUGAAUAAGACGAUUUCUUAACUUUUGUGUGUUUACUAGAAAUAUCUCCUUAUGAUUCCAAAUAUUUUAUAGGAACACCAAAUAAAAACAGAACAGUGCCUUAAAACACCCUAGAUAUGUUUAUUAUAGGUUAAUUUCCACAAGUAUAAAGUAUAUAGGGGAUGUUUUUGUCCCCUUUUAACAAGAAACCGGCUGUGAACUGGUGCAUAUUUGUGUAAACAGCAGACUAGAAAUUUGAGUUAACAUCAGACAAGAAUAUGUGUUAACAUCAAACAAGAAAUUUGUGUUAACAGCAGACUAGAAAUUUAUUUUUACAGUAGACAAAAAUUUUGUGUUAACAGCUAAGACAAUAAAUUUCUGUUAACAGACUAGAAAUAGUUGGACUAAAUAUUUAUCUGCACAUAAUCUUUUUGUUUAAAACACUAACAGAUUUCUAUAAUUUUAUUAACACAAUCCUAAACUUUAUUUUAUGCCAUUUACAGUGAUUUUUUUGUAAUUUUUAAAUUUUUCAUACAAAUUGUAGAUAUUGUUAUUCAUUUAUUACUUCCUCUUUAGAACAUCCUCUUUCAUUUGU